rnacentral:tRNA from 1 species
GCCUGGGUGGCUCAGUCGGUUGAGCGUCCCGACUUCAGCUCGGGUCAUGAUCUCACAGUCUGUGAGUUCGAGCCCCGCGUCAGGCU